rnacentral:rRNA from 1 species
ACGAACGCUGGCGGCAUGCCUAACACAUGCAAGUCGUACGAGACCUUCGGGUCUAGUGGCGCACGGGUGCGUAACGCGUGGGAACCUGCCCUUAGGUUCGGAAUAACUCCCCGAAAGGGGUGCUAAUACCGGAUAAUGUCUUCGGACCAAAGAUUUAUCGCCUUUGGAUGGGCCCGCGUUGGAUUAGCUAGUUGGUAGGGUAAAAGCCUACCAAGGCGACGAUCCAUAGCUGGUCUGAGAGGAUGAUCAGCCACACUGGGACUGAGACACGGCCCAGACUCCUACGGGAGGCAGCAGUGGGGAAUAUUGGACAAUGGGCGAAAGCCUGAUCCAGCAAUGCCGCGUGAGUGAUGAAGGCCUUAGGGUUGUAAAGCUCUUUUACCCGGGAUGAUAAUGACAGUACCGGGAGAAUAAGCUCCGGCUAACUCCGUG